UUCAGCGUGCUGACCUGCGUGUGGGUCUUACAUGGCACCUCAGAGCUGUGGCGCUGGCUGUCCAUGCCCGUGCCGAUCAUCUGUCAAAAGCUGCAAUCUGAGCAUCUUAGUAGCCUUUUACUUCCACUUCAAUGUAGGCUUAGGUUUUGCUUGGUAUGGACAGGGGUUUCAGUCUCAUUACUGUUUGUCAGCUCUCCAAAAUAGCACUAAAAAUAUUCUACAAAAGAAAAGUUCGAAUUUUUUGACAAUUAUGGAGUUUCUUAGUGAAAUCGCUCAAGAUAUAAUUAAUAUAUGGACCCAUCCUGUGGCAAUAAGCGCAACCGCGAUCUUGGGAGCACCUAUGGAAUUGCAGCUGAUAGCCUUCGCUGCUUCCUAUGCAGCAGGCUAUGAGAAUUUCCCCAACGUCGUCGGUUACCUCAUCCGUAUAGUUCAACGGCUAAUUGGGCAAAACUAGUCCUGCAAUACUGCUACUACUAGACACAUACGGACAUAUGUACUAUAAUACAUAAUACUCGUAUGGAAUCGAAGUCCCGAAAUACUGAAAUAAACCGUUGAUGGCAUUA